AGGGAAACCCAGGCUCUCGUCCGAUCACUGAAGUUAAGCACCUUCGAACCAAUCUGUACCGAGGUGGGUGACCGCUCGUGAAUAGUAAGUGU